rnacentral:ribozyme from 15 species
GAUCGAAUAUAAUUAUAUAAAGAAAGAAUUAAAUUCCAAAGAUAGUUUAAGAGGGACAUUUCGUCUUCUUGAUUCAUAAUUUUUUUUUUUUUUUCCCCCUUUUUUUUUU